GCUACAUACGUAGCUCAGUUGAUAGAGCAUGGGACUCUUAACCUCAGGGUUGCUGAGUUCAAGUCCCAUGUUGGGCA